UUUGGCGCUUUCAGUCACGUUCUCCCCUCUCCGCAAUGUAACGUUUUUAGAAAAAAAAAAAAAAACGUUAUCAGGGAAAUACGGUGAUUUAUUUUUUUAUGUUAGUUAAAAGCAAAUAGCAAGGUCCACAGUUUGUCCACUGCCUAGACUUUGACAAAAUUGUGCAAACUGACGGUUUUAUUUUUUUGUUGUUGACUGGUAUAAAUUAUGUGGAAAUGUAAAUUGUGUGUUUUUUCUAGUGCCUUAAAAAUACAGUUAUUGAGACAUUACAGACUCUAUCAUGGCCAGUAUUCCACAAUUUCACCAUUACCUUGCCUGUAUAACAACUGCAUGUGUACAUUUAGCACUUAUAACUCAUUGAAGGUACAUUUGUCAAGAGUACAUUUGGAGAAAAGACUGGUAGGCAGAGACAACAGUGAUUUGACUUUAAAUCUGGCAUUUCAUUGCCCUGUGUGUGAUUUUAAGCAGCCAUUUGUUGAGAGUGACAUGUUUAUUCAUCUAAGGGGGCAUCUAAGACGGAAAGAAACCGUGCCAUGUCCAUUUAGGGCCUGCAAGUUUCAAACAAAUGUUUACUCAACAUACAAUUCACACAAGUGCAGAGAACACCAACAUGCAUCAGACUAUGAUGUGGCAGUUGUAGUGCAAAAUGUCUCGAAUGUUUCCCAGGAUGACACUGAACAUGAUCAGGAAGAGCUUUCAGAUGAAAAUGAAACUGCCUCAGCCCCGGUAGCAGGCAGUAGUGAUGAAGGAUUAACAGAGCAGUUACAGUACAAUCUGGCUGCCUUCUUCUUGAAAAUGCAGACUAUUCUCCAUGUAUCCACAAGAGCAACACAGGAAAUCAUUGAGCAUAUUGAUCAAUUGUUUUCACUGUCAGAACCAGUUUUCAGAGAAUCUCUAAUCAAAAUACUGGAAAAACAUAACUGCCCCAUUACUGACACACUUGUUAGUGAGAUUGUCCAGGCAGUUUCAGAGAGUAAUAUUUUGUAUACAUCUGUUACCUCUGAAGGACCACUGUCAACAGCAAAGCGGAGAAAGUCAUAUUAUGAGGAUAAGUUUCCAUUUGCCAAGCCUGUAGAGUACCUUAUUGAGUCGUCACAGCGUACAUUUAUGUAUGUGCCCAUUCUCACAUCUUUGCAGUUGUUGUUGAAAAAAACAGACGUACUUGAGAAAGUCCAAGAAACCACCUCACAGUUGCCUGGACAGUAUUCGUCUUACUGUGAUGGCUCCUACUUCCAGGAAAAUGAGCUUCUCUCAGAUGAGGGUCAAAAAUUGUCAAUUAUUCUUUAUGUUGAUGAUUUUGAAAUUGCAAACCCUCUAGGAACAUCAAAAAAAAUACACAAAGUAUGUGCAGUUUAUUGGACAUUAGCUAACCUCCCAGUAAAGUAUCGCUCAGCACUCCAAUCUACUCAGUUGACUCUUUUGUGCAACUCAAAUGAUGUACGGCAGUUUGGGUAUGAAAAGGUUUUUGCGCCUCUCUUGAGUGACCUAAAAGCUCUUGAAAAUGAGGGUGUUUACAUUGAGACAUUUGGUCACUGUCUCAAAGGCACAGUGUACUCUGUUGUGGCUGAUAACCUGGCUGCCCAUGGGCUAGCUGGUUUCAGUGAGAGUUUUAGGGCUACAUAUUUUUGCAGAUUUUGUCUUGCCACCCAGACAGAUAUGCAAACAUCAAAUGCAAUCACUGGUAGUUUUGAGAUGAGAACCAAAAAUAUGCAUGAUCACCUUGUUCAAAAAAUGCAGAACAGUGACAGUGAAGAGAACUGCGGUGUAAAACAAAGUUGUGUUCUUUCUGAUCAUCUCUCUUAUUUUCAUCCUAUCACAGGAUUUCCACCUG
ensembl:lncRNA